rnacentral:lncRNA from 1 species
UGUUUAUUGAUCAUAUUGUACAGAGUUAGGGUGACAUUAGUGUUGUGCUAAUUUCAGUGGGGGGCGGAUCAUUUUUAUCGUCGGCACCGGGUUUGACCUCGUCCAGAACGCUGCCGUGAAAGUGGUGCCCUCCAGCGAGCAGUCAGGCGUCACCAGUCCACUGAAGUCUGAAGUGGAGGUAAAAGGCGAAAAUGACGCAGUAAUGCAGUUCUCCUCCCCGACGGUGAACGUGACCGAUGGGAUAGCGUCUCUCAGGACCUACAUCGUCAUGGACAACAUUGAGCUUGAGCUCAAGCCUUUUGACUACCACCCGGAUCCUACGUUUGAAGAGAACCAAAAAAGGAUUGUUUCAGAGAACAGCAUCAUAUCUGUAACUGGUAAAGGUUUCGCCAAAGCAAUGACAGCCCAAGAAGCAGAAGCCUUUGUGGGAGACGUCUCUUGUGGGGUCAGCAUCUUACAGAAUGACAAGCUCUUCCUGGACUGGACCCAACCAACAUCUUGCUUCAAGAGGCCCAAGAGAGACACAAAGGCAGAUUUGCUGGAACUUAAGAUUAAGUUCGGCCAUGGGCAGUGGAUUGUAGGCUCAGUGGAGUAUGAAAAGAAGACUGAGGCAUCCUGGACAUCUCCCCUGGACAUCAUAAUUCCUGAAGUGAUUGCCCCGAUGGUGGGGAUCAUCAUAAUCAUAGCCUCAGUGUGCUGCUACAGGAAGCAAGCUGAGAGAGAAUAUGAGAAACUGAGGCAGCAGCUCGAGAACCUGGAGGGGAGCGUUCGUGACCGCUGCAAGAAGGAGUUCACAGAGCUCAUGAUUGAAAUGGAGGACCACACCGGUGACCUCAGUGAACCCUGUAUCCCCUUCCUGGACUACAAGACCUACACAGACCGCGUUUUCUUCCUGCCUUUCAAGAACAGCGCCAGUGACGUGAUGAUCACUGGCAAGCUGGACAUUCCUGAGGCGAGGAGGGCCACAGUGACGCAGGCCCUCAACCAGUUCCUCAACCUGCUGAAUAGCAAGCCUUUCCUUCUCAGUUUCAUCCGCACCUUAGAGGGGCAUCCUGACUUCAAUGCCCGGUCAAAGGGCUACUUUGCCUCCCUGCUGACGGUGGCGCUUCACAGCAAGUUGGACUACUACACAGACAUCAUGAGGACACUCCUGUUAGAACUCAUGGAACAAUAUGCCCGGAGCAAGAACCCCAAGCUCAUGCUGCACAGGUGAGGUGUAUAAGACCAGCGUAUCUUUAAGGUGUCUCAGAACGGCCCUUUUUUUUUUUUGUAAAUAAUGUGAUCUUCCCCUGCCCACUUUAAAAAAAGUAAUUUCUCUGCCCCUUACUUGUAGGUCAGAGACGGUGGUGGAGAAAAUGCUGUGCAACUG